rnacentral:tRNA from 1 species
UGGCCUAUAGCUUAACGGCAGAGUAAUCGGUUGUUACCCGAUUUGGUGCUGGUUCGAAUCCAGCUAGGUCAGC